UACGUAGGGGGCUAGCGUUGUCCGGAUUUAUUGGGCGUUAAGAGCGUGUAGGCGGCCAGGUAGGUCUGCUGUGAAAACUCGAGGCUCAACCUCGAGACGUCGGCGGAAACCAUCUGGCUAGAGUCCGGAAGAGGAGAGUGGAAUUCCUGGUGUAGCGGUGAAAUGCGUAGAUAUCGGAAGGAACAUCAGUGGCGAAGGCGGCCGCCUGGGCAUGAUCUGACACUGAGACACGAAAGCGUGGGGAUCAAACAGG
rnacentral:rRNA from 1 species